GCACUAGAAAAUGGCCGCAAAAUUUAAGGCGCAAAAGAAGUAGAGUUUGAUUUGAGUAAAGUAAAUGUUUAGUUUAACAUGACAUAUCUUUUUAACCAGGUUUUCCGAAGGAAAAAACUGGUUAUUAGAUUGGCGAAUGCGGGCGGGCUGGCUGGCUGGCUGGCGGGCUGGCGGGCUGGCGGAAUAAGCUUGUCCGGGCCAUAACUAUGUCGUUCAUUGUCAGAUUUUAAAAUCAUUUGGCACAUUUGUUCACCAUCAUUGGACGGUGUGUCGCGCGAAAUAAUUACGUCGAUAUCUCCAAGGUCAAGGUCACACUUUGAGUUCAAAGGUCAAAAAUGGCCAUAAAUGAGCUUGUCCUGGCCAUAGCUAUGUCAUUCAUUGUGAGAUUUUAAAAUCAUUUGGCACAUUUGUUCACCAUCAUGGGACGGUGUGUCCCACGAAAGAAUCACGUCAAUAUCUCCAAUGUCAAGGUCGCCACGACUAAAAAAAGAUUUAAAAAAAAAAAAAAACUUACAAAGGGGGUUAAUUUUUUUUGGUCAUUUCAAAA